rnacentral:rRNA from 1 species
GACGAACCGUGCGAACGUUAUUCGGAAUCACUGGGCUUAAAGCGCGUGUAGGCGGGACGGCACGUCGGUCGCUGAAAUCCCCCGGCUUAACCGGGGAACUGGCGUCGAUACGACCGCCCUGGAGGGGCGUAGGGGGACCUGGAACUUCCGGUGGAGCGGUGAAAUGCGUUGAGAUCGGAAGGAACGCCCGUGGCGAAAGCGAGGUCCUGGACGCCUACUGACGCUGAGACGCGAAAGCGUGGGGAGCGAACAGG